GUGCUUAACACAUGCAAGUCGAACGGAAAGGCCCUUUCGGGGGUACUCGAGUGGCGAACGGGUGAGUAACACGUGGGUGAUCUGCCCUGCACUUUGGGAUAAGCCUGGGAAACUGGGUCUAAUACCGGAUAGGACUACGGACUGCAUGGUCUGUGGUGGAAAGCUUUUGCGGUGUGGGAUGGGCCCGCGGCCUAUCAGCUUGUUGGUGGGGUGAUGGCCUACCAAGGCGACGACGGGUAGCCGGCCUGAGAGGGUGUCCGGCCACACUGGGACUGAGAUACGGCCCAGACUCCUACGGGAGGCAGCAGUGGGGAAUAUUGCACAAUGGGCGCAAGCCUGAUGCAGCGACGCCGCGUGGGGGAUGACGGCCUUCGGGUUGUAAACCUCUUUCACCAUCGGCGAAGCCGGGAGCUUUUGUUUCUGGUGACGGUAGGUGGAGAAGAAGCACCGGCCAACUACGUGCCAGCAGCCGCGGUAAUACGUAGGGUGCGAGCGUUGUCCGGAAUUACUGGGCGUAAAGAGCUCGUAGGUGGUUUGUCGCGUUGUUCGUGAAAUC
rnacentral:rRNA from 1 species